rnacentral:rRNA from 1 species
UGUAAGCGUAUACCAAAGUUGUUGCAGUUAAAACGCUCGUAGUCGGAAUUUGGCAGUUCCGGAUGUGUGCACGUCGUGUGCGCACUUCGCGGGGAUUGCUUUUGUGGUCUUGCGUAGGAUGAGGCACUUUUAUUAGUGAACGUCCUCACGCAACCACUUUUUACUGUGAGAAAAUCAGAGUGCUCAAAGCAGGCAUUUGCCGUGAAUGUAUUAGCAUGGAAUAAUAGAAUAGGACUUGGUUCUAUUUUGUUGGUUUGUUGGGACUGAGUAAUGAUUAAGAGGGACAGUUGGGGGCAUUUGUAUUCCGGCGCUAGAGGUGAAAUUCUUAGAUUGCCGGAAGACAAACUGCUGCGAAAGCGUCUGCCAAGGAUGUUUUCAUUGA